rnacentral:rRNA from 1 species
AUGGACCCCCCUCACCUCUCUCUCUCUCUCUCAAACCCUAAAACAAAUCAGUCAAGCUCUCAUUGCCGACUCGCAGACCCAUCGUCUGGGUGGCUGACACGUCAGUUCCCUGUUGCUACGGUGCUGCCAACCCGCCAUUCCAUUGCCCUGGAUUCGGUUGUGGCGUGGGCUGGGAACCGUAGAGUUUUGUCUGAUGUGUCGUCCGAGACGGAGGUUUGGUUGGCUGACGCCAGGUAUGAGCAGCUCCUGAGACUGUCUAAGUUACUUACCACUAUGAGCAGCCUGAUGGAUGGAUGGAUGGAUGAUGUAUGCAUGCUACUGUGUGAUGAAGAGAUGGAGUUCUUACCAGGGGCGAUGAUGAUGACUGUGGCUGAAACAAGCAUGUCUUGA